CCUAGGGUUGCAGCAGUGAGGAAUAUUGGUCAAUGGGCGCGAGCCUGAACCAGCCAUCCCGCGUGCAGGAUGACGGCCCUAUGGGUUGUAAACUGCUUUUCUAUGCCAAGAAACCUGAUUACGUGUAAUCAGUUGCCGGUAGCAUAGGAAUAAGCAUCGGCUAACUCCGUGCCAGCAGCCGCGGUAAUACGGAGGAUGCAAGCGUUAUCCGGAUUCAUUGGGUUUAAAGGGUGCGCAGGUGGGCUUGUAAGUCAGUGGUGAAAUGCUGCCGCUUAACGGUAGAACUGCCAUUGAUACUGCGAGUCUUGAGUAUGGUUGAGGUAGGCGGAAUGUGUUGUGUAGCGGUGAAAUGCAUAGAUAUGACACAGAACGCCAAUUGCGAAGGCAGCUUACUAAGCCAUUACUGACGCUGAGGCACGAAAGCGUGGGGAGCGAACAGGAUUAGAUACCCUUGUAGUC
rnacentral:rRNA from 1 species